rnacentral:rRNA from 1 species
UACAGAGGUCUCAAGCGUUGUUCGGAUUCAUUGGGCGUAAAGGGUGCGUAGGUGGCGCCGUAAGUCGGGUGUGAAAUCUCGGGGCUUAACUCCGAAACUGCAUUCGAUACUGCCGUGCUUGAGGACUGGAGAGGAGACUGGAAUUUACGGUGUAGCGGUGAAAUGCGCAGAUAUCAGGAGGAACACCAAUGGCGAAGGCAGCUCGCUGGAACGGUACUGACGCUGAGGCGCGAAAGCGUGGGGAGCGAACAGG